ACAGAAUACAGGCUUUACAGGCUUACAAAAUGGAUCAGAUGCUUCAGAGAAGAAAUAAUUUUGUAGGAAGUCAGGAGACCUAAGUUUAGUCUACUAAGACCCUUCCUUGUGUCCUUGGAUCACUGGCCUGAGUCCAGAGAAUUCUGAGCCCUGCAGCCCUUUCUGCCUGGAGGGGAACCGAGCAGGGAGGGAGCUGCACCAAACAUGCGCCCUCUGCUCCUUAGAGGCCUGAUGCUCCCUUCAGUUUACUCUGGCUUGACAGCUCCAUUUCAACCCCCACCUUGGAGAUGAGGCAGCUCAAUAUUUACUCAGCCAGAGAGGUUUGUCCAGAAGCCUGCCUCCCCAGCCUCCUCCUGUUGGCUCUGCUCUGUUGCCCCCACCCCCUUCCUUCCCGGUUCAUAGAGAGUUCAGCCCUGCAAUGGCUUGCAGCCCCCUCCACUCCCCAGCCCUGACAGAGCCGCCUGUCGGGGGACUGCUGAGGCCAGAAGAGCGGGGGAAGGGCACCAGUCAGUCGUGGGGUCAUGUCCUGGUCUCUCCACCCUUACUGGACCAGCAGCCUAGGCCUCUAGAAGAAGAGAAGACUCAGCAAAUGAUUGUCUUUUGGGGGAAGAGUGCGUGGAGAUUGGCUAAAAUGGAACUGUGGGGUUGGGGACAUGAUCCAGGACUGUAAAAGCUUCACAUAGCUGUGUGCAAUAUUAUAAACCAUGGUUUAUGGUAGAGAAACUUGGUAAAUUUGUAACAGUCUGAACUCUUUCCAAAGACACGAAAAGAGCUAAUACAAUAAAUAAGUGACACUUGGGUUUUCAGCAACACAUCUGAAAACUGAUCUCUUAUCUCCUAACAUUCUAGAAUGUAAGAUCCAUGAAGACAGGACUUUUUUUUUUUUUUUUCCUUAGAGACAAAGUCUCGCUAUGUUGUCCAGGCUAGACUUGAACUCCUGGGCUCAAGCCAUCCUCUGGCCUUAGCCUGCUGAGUAGCUGGGACUGUACAGGUGUAUGCCUACUGCACCCGGCUAAGCAGGGAUUUUUGUUUGUUUUGUUCCUUGU
rnacentral:lncRNA from 10 species